rnacentral:rRNA from 1 species
GACAGAGGUCCCGAGCGUUAGGCGGAAUCACUGGGCUUAAAGCGUGUGUAGGCGGAUCGUUAAGUGCCUUGUGAAAUCCCACGGCUUAACCGUGGAACUGCUUGGCAUACUGGCGGUCUUGAGCCACUUAGGGGCAACCGGAACAAAUGGUGGAGCGGUGAAAUGCGUAGAUAUCGCUUGGAACGCCGACGGCGAAAGCAGUCUGCUGGGGGCCUUCUGACGCUGAGACACGAAAGCCAGGGGAGCGAACGGG